UACGUAGGGUGCGAGCGUUGUCCGGAAUUAUUGGGCGUAAAGAGCUCGUAGGCGGCUUGUCGCGUCGGAUGUGAAAGCCCGGGGCUUAACUCCGGGUCUGCAUUCGAUACGGGCAGGCUAGAGUUCGGUAGGGGAGAUCGGAAUUCCUGGUGUAGCGGUGAAAUGCGCAGAUAUCAGGAGGAACACCAACGGCGAAGGCAGCUCUCUGGGACGUUACUGACGCUGAGACGCGAAAGCGUGGGGAGCAAACAGG
rnacentral:rRNA from 1 species